rnacentral:rRNA from 1 species
CCUACGGGUGGCAGCAGUGAGGAAUAUUAGUCAAUGGCCGAGAGGCUGAACCAGCCAAGUCGCGUGAGGGAAGACGGCCCUACGGGUUGUAAACCUCUUUUGCCGGGGAGCAAGCCUGAGCACGUGUGCCCAGGCGGAGGGUACCCGGAGAAAAAGCAUCGGCUAACUCCGUGCCAGCAGCCGCGGUAAAACGGGGGAUGCGAGCGUUAUCCGGAUUUGUUGGGUUUAAAGGGUGCGCAGGGGGGCGGUUAGGCCGGCGGUAAAAAUUCAGGGCUCAACCCUGUCGAGCCGUCGGAACUGGCAGUCUUGAGUGGGCGAGAAGUAUGCGGAAUGCGUGGUGUAGCGGUGAAAUGCAUAGAUAUCACGCAGAACGCCGAGUGCGAAGGCAGCAUACCGGCGCCCAACUGACGCUGAGGCACGAAAGCGUGGGGAUCGAACAGGAUUAGAUACCCCGGUAGUC